rnacentral:rRNA from 1 species
UACGGAGGGGGCUAGCGUUGUUCGGAAUUACUGGGCGUAAAGGGCGCGUAGGCGGCCAUUCAAGUCGGAGGUGAAAGCCCAGGGCUCAACCUUGGAAUUGCCUUUGAUACUGUUCGGCUCGAGACCGGAAGAGGUUAGUGGAACUGCGAGUGUAGAGGUGAAAUUCGUAGAUAUUCGCAAGAACACCAGUGGCGAAGGCGGCUAACUGGUCCGGUUCUGACGCUGAGGCGCGAAAGCGUGGGGAGCAAACAGG